rnacentral:tRNA from 1 species
GCUAGCAUCCCAUAAACAAUUAGCUUAUUAAAAGCAAAGCACUGAAAAUGCUUAGAUGGA